AUAUGCUUGUCUCAAAGAUUAAGCCAUGCAUGUCCAAGUACAAGCCUCACUAAGGUGAAACCGCGAAUGGCUCAUUAAAUCACACCUAAUCUACUGGAUAGUUAACAGUUACUUGGAUAACUGCGGUAAUUCUGGAGCUAAUACAUGCACAAAGCCUCGAACUUACGUGAGAGGCGCUUUUAUUAGAUCAAAACCAAACGGCUUCGGCUGUACUCUUGGUGACUCUGAAUAACUUUGGGCUGAACGCAUAGCCUUGCGCUGGCGUCAUAUCCUUCGAAGGUGUGCCCUAUCAACUGUCGACUGUGGCAUAGACGCCCACAGUGGUUUUGACGGGUAACGGGGAAUCAGGGUUCGAUUCCGGAGAGGGAGCCUUAAAAACGGCUACCACAUCUAAGGAAGGCAGCAGGCACGCAAAUUACCCAAUGACCGAAGGUCGAGGUAGUGACGAAAAAUAACGAUCCAGGACUCAUCCGAGGCCCUGGAAUCGGAAUGAGUACACUUUAAAACCGUCCCCGAGGAUCUAUUGGAGGGCAAGUCUGGUGCCAGCAGCCGCGGUAAUUCCAGCUCCAAUAGCGUAUAUUAAAGUUGUUGUGGUUAAAAAGCUCGUAGUUGGAUCUCGGCAGUCUGAGGGCGGUUUACUUGCUAGUAUUACUGCCC
rnacentral:rRNA from 1 species